GACGUUUAUUGUUCCUUGCUGAUGUUGUGUUGCCGUGUUUUUUUGUUUUUUCGCCGGGAAACGUUCCAAACUGCACAUUAAGACGCGUGUGUAGUGUCAGUGACAGUUAAGAUAGCAAUUCGCUUGUUCAUCGCCUAAUUAAGUUUUAGUUGUUUAAAUCAGAGCUCCGCAACAAGGCAGUCUACUGAAGAGCGUUGAUAAGCGGGGGUUCAUUUAACCACAACGUAACUCUUUAAAAAAAAAAAUACGAAGGCAUCCACCGAAAGUUUGAGGCCACAGCCCAGCCAUGUGGUGUGGGGACUGGAGCCAGCUGCCACAGGAGUCCUUACGCUUCCUGGUCGCGUCGUCACAAAAUGGCCCCGUACUGGAGGUGCGCUCAGUCGUUCU